rnacentral:rRNA from 1 species
GAGUGGCGAACGGCUGAGUAACACGUGGAGAACCUGCCCCCUCCUCGGGGAUAGCCGCGGGAAACCGCGGGUAACACCCGACGACCCCCGGAGCCGCGCAUGCGGCGCCGGGCAAAUCUCCGGAGGGAGGGGAUGGCUCCGCGGCCCAUCAGGUAGACGGCGGGGUGACGGCCCACCGUGCCGACAACGGGUAGCCGGGUUGAGAGACCGACCGGCCAGAUUGGGACUGAGACACGGCCCAG